AACCCCACCCCUACGCCGACCCCACUCCCCUCGGAAGAAGCGGCCGUGAUCUCUUUCCUGGAUAUCACUUUCAUUCCUGUUUGGGCCUCAGAUGAGAAAAACAGCCCUGUCCUUUGGGUUUCCAAAGAAUGUUUGGAAAUUCAGCGAGGGGACCGUCGCUCAUAAUUCUCUCGCCAAGUGGAAAUCUACCCCGGCAGGGAAUAACCUGAACUCGGGAUGAGCAGACAGAGAAAGGACACCCUCUCCCCGAUAUGCACACCUCGAACUCUACCCUGGGUCCAACUUCCUUCGGCUUUCUUACUUUAACCACAGCAAAAUUUCGUUCUUUAACCUGGCAGCGUCUACAGGGACAAAGGCCACGGCUCGCGGGAGCAGCAGUUCGAAUAGCCCCCGGCGGUGGUCAGCAAUCGGAGCCUGCAGGGCCGAGCGACUCGGUGAUGUGUAGAUUUAAGGUGACAAAUGCGGGUGCCGGCCAGAGCCCUCCGGUCCCCGCCCGUUGGAAAGGUCGGCUCCAAGCCGGGCAGCGCCCUGGCGUCUGAGACCCGCGGAGGGGAGGGGUAGGGUCGCCUUUGGCUGUGCUUUGAGCCGCGGGCAAAGGCGUCCGGGUUCCUGCUGACCUCCCGGCGCUAAUUGCUGGGGCCGAAGGGCGCGCUCGGGCAGAGGCAGGGGUCACGACCCUGCGCUCCCCCCCCCCCCAGCGUCCUCGCAGCCCCGAAGGAGCGAGGGGUGUGUGCAAGCCGGCGACUGUGUGUGCGUGCGUAGGGCCUGUCUCUGGAUCUACGCUGUCUUGGGACCCGCCCUUUCUGUGUUUGGGGAAAGUUCCCGACGAGUAGGCCCUAAAAAAAAUUUCCAUCCAAGAAGGAAAACCCGGGUUCAGACCUUUCCCCUAAGCCAGCAGACAGGCAGCCGCCUUCGGGCGCUGCAAGACGCUUGAAACGCUUCGCGUCCGCGCACUUUCUGCCUCGCUGGUUUUCAAAUUUGACCUCACGGCACCCAGCCAAGAGAGUGACUGUUGGAGUGUGUAGCUUUGAGCCCAAGCGGCGACCUGGGCUCUAUGUACGUAGCCUUAGUUGGAGGUACCUUUGGGUAGCUCCUGGGGUGUUCUCGUUCUGAGGCCAGGAACUGCAGGUGUUAGAAAGGAUACGUGUGUGUUUGCGUGUACUUGUGAGCGCUCCAUCUGUCGCCGUCUCUUCCAAUUUGGAUUUAGAAGUUCAUGCGCAAGACAGUUCCGGAUGUAGAUGCAUUUGGUUGUUUUAUAAUCAAGAUGCGUAUAAUCAAGAAGUAUAUGUUGCAGAUGUCGGCGUUCAAAGUACACAGAACAACGAUAAUAAAAAUAGUUGGCAUACAAGGGCCACGUGCACGCGCCAGGCACUCGGUUAAGCACCCAGCAAAAGUGACCUCGUGUGGUCCUCACUAUUAACCCUAUAAGUUGUGUACGAUUUUUUAUCCCCAUUUUACAAGGGAGGAAACUGAGUCUCAGAAGAGUUCAGUCACUUUACCCAAGAUCACACCGGUGGGUUGGGGGGGAUUAUGGAACUAGAAUUCUUUCUAAUCACAAUUCCUAAUUCAGAUGAAACACUUACCCACUGUAUGUCCCGGAUGUAGAGAAGUAUAUGGGUGUGUUCUGGAUUUGGGAGACUGUGUCUCUGUCUCUCUAAAAGAACAUUUUAAUUUCUUCCUGAAUCUGUCGUGCAGUGUGGAAGCACAGCUUUUAUUUCGGCGUCCCACUCUCCUCUGCGUCCUGAAACACCUAUGUAGGUGAAGAUCGUGGGGUUUGGGGCCUUCGAUCCCAGGUAGAUUAAGACAGAGGUUGAGUCGUGUGCGGAAACCCGCAUUUUAAAAUGCUUGCAGCUGGAUCUGAGCCGGAGGGGAGCUGCGAGCGAGAGGGAAUGAGAAUAGCGCCGGCGCCCGCCAGGGACAGCGAGGUGACCAUGCUAAUACACGGUUUCUCUCCUGCCAGGUCGGGGAGCAAGACUUGGCUGCGGAUGUCGCGGGCUUUCCUCCAUCCGCUUCAUAUCCUACCCCAAGUCCCCAGCAUUUGCUGCGCCCUAUCUAACCAGGUGGGAAGGCCGAGCACUAUAUGUGGCCUGCAGGUGGGGACUCUCCAGGCACAAGGAUUAUUUGCUUUUUUUUUUUUCCUCUUCUGGUUCAACCCUAACCUGCUUCUAGGAACCUAAGCAAAUAGUUUUUCCUGCCCUAUUAAUUCCCACUCCUCACUUCCAGCUGGAAGCCAAGCACUCAACUAGUGGAGAGAUGGAUUCUCCCAGGAAAGUGCAGAAGGGGUGCUCAGCACGCAGCGCGCAGCCGGGGCCCCACACACCUGGAGAGCCGAGGCCGGGUCUGGGUGCCCACUGGAUAGGGGUGAAAACUAAUUGCCUGGGUAGGAAAUAGCGCCUAAAUCCCGAACGCAGGGCUCUUUGUGCCCAAAGGCUGGGAUGAAAUCUGGCCCUUGCACCCUGGAUCUCGCCACUUUGGUGCAGUCCCUGGAAUGGGGGGCAAAAGUAGGGGUUGGAGAGGGGCGUCAGAACCUGGCCGGGUACCACCCAAGUGUCGGGCUUUCCACUCCCUCUACCCUCAGUCAUCCGGGUCCCAAGACCCCAGUGAGCCAAUCUAUUGGAGCUUUUGAAAUGCGAUCCCCGUGCCCCUUGGGUUUCCCACUAAGGACCUGGACUGUGGUUUCGGGUUGCGGAGCUGCCUCCCCGGGCGCCUCAACCAACCCUCGCCUGGGUGCUCUUCCCUCCCGCACAGCAGGUCCAGGAACCAGCGUCCCUGGCUUCUCUUAAGCUCCCCGCAAGCUUCCGGGACACUACAGGCACCAAAGUGACACUUGGAAGCGAACUUCCUUCCUGCCCCUUUAGCACGAUGUCUUCCACCCGGGUCCCCAGAGCCGGCAUCUUGGUUGUAGCUUAUUAUCUGUUUUUAUGCCGGGGACCAGGAGCCCCUCACUCCUGUACUGUCAACCGCCUCGGGUCUUUACUCCCAGCCCCCAACCCUCCUACCCCUGGCGGAGAGCCGAGGUGCGAGCUGGUUGGGAGAGCCAGCGCUGACAGUGCGGCGGCCAAAUAGCACACCCUCCUCCCCCAGGACCCCCUGUCCCGAAGGCCCGCAGCAAGGAAUUCAUCGGACCGCUUCCAGGGCGGGGUUGCUCAGUUGAAUCCCCUGAAAACGCAAAGGUGGUUAUUGUGCUUACGUGCAUUUCUGAGGGGACCCUAUAAUUUCUCCCAAAUUCUUAACCAAAUUAAGAACCACUCUCUUAUUGUCUCUCAGGGGACAAUAAGAAAUGAUAGAGGGGAAACAUUUGGGAUGGUCCUCCCUAGGUAGAAUUUAACUUUAGCUCCCCCCCCCCAAUACACAUUUGGAAGCUAAGUUUACAGACCCCAGGGGCCUCAGGCACUAUAUAAUUUCUUGAUUAACUAAUGAUAUUAACUUAUCAACCAGAUGAUUAUGCACAGUCAUUAUCGCCCCCACUGCGUUCUGUGUUAAUUUCCUGUUACUGGGGUCACCCUCCCUCCAUAGCACAGGUAAUAAAAGGGAACCACUUUUCAUAAAACGAAAUUACUUUUUACUAGAUGCCUCCUACUUCAAGAUCAAGGGUAAAAGGAGCUGCUGGGGAGGCCCCCCCUUGUGGGGAGAGGAUGACAGGGGCCAAGGUUGGGGCUUCCUUGGCCUCUACAUGCAUCAUAACAGUAUGGUUUUAAUGUGGGCAGUUUUCUUCUUUGGGAUCAUUUUUGGAUCUUAGUUCUUUGACUAAAGAAGCCCCCUGGUGUAACUGGGGGUUUGAAUUUUGGAAGGUAGGUGUGUGUGUGUGUGUGUGUGUGUGUGUGUGUGAGAGAGAGAGAGAGAGAGAGAGAGAGAGAGAGAGAGAGAAGGGGAGAAUUUGGGGUCUGAGGGUCACUUGAGUCUUUCUUUUUCCCCAGGGCAAAAAAAUAACAAGGUGAAGAAUGGUACCCUUUCAAUGCAGAUAAUUCCUUGUAUUUCUAUCACCCAACAAAGCCUACCACACCUAUGGGUUGAGUCCUAAUAUGCCUAGCCACCACUCUGAUUGGAAGGUGACCCCUCUAAUUGGAAAGUAGAGGUGACAGAAAGUGGGUGAAAUUUCUAUCGUUCUCUUGACUUAUGUCUCCUUCACUUUUUAUUCAGCAAAACAUAUGAACAGCACAUGAAAAGAAACAUCUUAGACAUUGCAGAAUGUUCCACAAGUAGGGCUCCUUCCUCUUUUCUCCCCUCUGAUAAAAAUAGGAACCCUAAAGCCUGUCUUAAUACACCCCUGUGGGUCCUGCUUGGCCACUUAGAGAUGCAUUGUUUUUCCCUGGAGUCAAGGCCAGGUUGGUUGGGAACAGCUGAUGUAAGCUAAGCUACCUACUUAUCUCUAAAUCAACCUCCCACUGAUCCUAGCCCCCCCAAACAAAUUUACCACCAAUCUCUAUUUUACUCUUAACUUGCCACUCCCCGCCCCCCCCCCCCCCCCCCCGCCAAUGUCUUGAAAGGAGAUGACAAAGAAAAUGUGACUGUCUGCCCUGCUGGGAGUAGGGGACCCGGUGCCUUUCCUCUAAUUGUCACAUGUCACUUCUGUGAUGGUUUGGGUUGACACUAAAGUCCUCCUGGUGUUAUUUAUUUCCCUGGUUUCUUGAAAUCUUCUUCUCUGCAAGUUGGGGGCUGAAAAGUCAAACAGGAAGGGGGGACUGCAGUGUAUCAGCGCGAGCGAGCUACCUGUUCUGCAGAGCUCAGGGCAGGAGGGGUAUAGAAAUGGCAAGGACUGCCCGCCAGCCUGGCGCACCUCGGCUAGGCCUUUCCUCUGGUGUCAUCUGCUGGUGGCCUGGGGGAAGUGCAUGGGGCUUUUCCAACCCAGGGAAUCUGUCGCAUUGAUUUAUUAUCCUUUCUUCCUUCAACGGUUAUUGAGAAAUGAUUUUUCUUCUCAUGGAUUUUGCAUUCUAGUGAAGCAAAAAUUAAGGCCAUUCUCUGAAAGUAAGCUAUCUGGGGAUGUAAGACGGAAGAGCAUUUGCCUAGCAUGCCUUAGCCCCUGGAUUUAAUCCUUAGCACCAGAAAAUAAUAAUAAUAAUAAUAAUAAUAAUAGUGGUGAUGACAAUGAUGUUGAUAAUGAUAAUAAAGGUAAGAUACAGGGGCUGAGGACAUAGCCAUGGUGCAGCACUUGGCUUGCUUUGGGUCUCAAUUCAUCAUAAAAUAAAAGUAGAAACAAUGAAAUCUACAAACCUGCAAGCAGAUACGCUGUGAAGAGCAACAAUAGUUCCUGUUCCUUCCCCUUUUGGACUUUUGAGACUAAAUUCCAAUAAGGGCAGAGUUUGCUUAGUAGCUUCUCCUUCCUCCUGAGGGUCCUGGAGAGUUGCUUUGUCAUUCACCCUGACUGCACCAAUCCCUGGCAAUUUAUUUUUUAUUUUUUAAUUUUUUAAUUUUUUUUUUUUGCACUAGGGAUUGACCCCAGGGGCACUUAACCCUGAGCCACAUCACCAUUCCUUUUUAAAAAAUAUUUUAUUAGAAAGAGGGUCUGGCUGAGUUGCUUAUAGCCCCUUGCUAAGUUGCUGAGGCUGGCUUUGAACUCAUGAUCCUCCUGCCUCAGCCGGCCCCAGUAAUUUAAUUCAACCAUCUGGACAGGGAUUUAGGAUAUGGAUUAACACUCCCAGAUGCACAAGAGGAAGGUGGCAUUCCAGCUGCCUGUCCUCCUAGGAGCCCUUCUCCUGGUCACAUACUUCCUGAGGGGGUCUCAAGUGAUCUGGCCGGCUCUAGCUUCUGCUCACCACUGGCAAUUCUGGUCUGAUGGCCUUCUGCUGUCCUCCUCUGAGAUCUGCUGGUCACCUCACAACAAGACUGAUCUCAGGGCCUCUUUAGCCUCCAGUUUCAGUGACUCCCUCUCCCUGGUCCUAAGGCUUGUCUGAUCUGGCCUCUGCUUCGUUCUGUCCAAUCACAUUUUGCCCAAUUAUUUGGGUUCACACCAUCAACUCCAAGUCCACAUUUUCCUCCUCCCCAACUCAAGAUCUUUCUUCAUACUGUUCCUUUAGACUGGGGUUUUUUGAUCGGGACAUUGUUGACAUUUUUUAAAAUUAAUUAUUAUUUAUUUUUAAAAUUAUUUAUUUACACCAGGGAUUGAACCCAGGGGGUGCUUAACCUUGGAGCCACAUCCCCACCCCAUUUUUAUAUUUAUUUAUUUAUUUGUUCGUUUGUUUAUUUAUUUUACAUUUUGAGACAGGGUCUCACUAGGUUGCUCACAGCUUCCCUAAAUUGCUGAGGCUGGCUUCAACCUGUGAUCCUCCUGCCUCAGCCUCCUGAGACUGGGAUGACAGGUACGUGCCACCACCCCUGGCUACUGUUGACAUUCUGAACUGGAUAAUUCUCUGUGCAGGGUGCUGACUUGGGAUUGCAAGUCUCUUAGCAGCAUUUAUCCCUGAUUCCAACCUGUCAGAUGUCAGUGCCAUCCUCUUGUUCAAUGGCAACAAUAAAAAAAAAAAAUGCCUCUAGACAUUUCAGGAGUCCAGCUGGGGGAAGAGGAGGAGGGGUAAAAUAAAUCAGCCCUGGUUGAGAACCACCACCUUAGCCCAAAUCCCCAAACCAUCUUUUUAAUUAAUUAGCUAUCUAUCUAUCUACCUAUAUAUUUAUUUAUUUUGUGAUGCUGAGGAUUGAGCCCAGGGCCUUGUGCAUGUGAGGCAAGCACUCUACCAUCUGAUCUAUGUCCCCAGAUUAAUUAUUAAAAUAAAUUUUAGGGGCUGGGGAUGUGGCUCAAGCGGUAGCGCGCUGGCCUGGCAUGCGUGCGGCCCGGGUUGGAUCCUCAGCACCACAUACAAACAAAGAUGUUGUGUCCGCCGAUAACUAAAAAAUAAAUAUUAAAAAAAAUUUAAAAAAAUAAAUAAAUUUUAAUUUUAAUUUAUUUUCAGUGCUGCGGAUGGAACCCAGGCCUUCACCCACACUAAGCAAGUCCUCUACCACUGAGCUCCACCCCCAGCUUCCCCUCACCCUUGUCCUCUUUGGUUAAUGCCAACAUGGAUGUCCGUGUCACUCCAUAAAGGUUUCCCUAACCUCCAAGGCUGGGUUGGGUCUCCCACUGCAGGUUCUCAGGUUCUCUGACUUCUUCUGUGGAGCAGACAGCACCAGGUGUCCAGUGUGUCCCUACAAGAGUACAGGCAACCAGAGGGCAGGGGCCCCCUGCACCAGCUUCACUAAACCAGGUUUUCGAUUCGAGCUUGGUUGAAUUCACACGCGGGAGCCCGCAGACACAGAGGACUGCCCAAUCAGCUUGAAUCUGUCUUUCCUUUCCAAGCUGAAUUUCCAAGCUGAAUGCUGCUCUUCUGCAUUCUUCCAUUAUUGACUGACAUCCAUCCAUCCAGUGCAGAUGAGGGCUCAAGUCCUUGGUGCAAGCCACGGUAGGUUGACAACUUGCACUCCACGCCGUGCUCCAGAUGUGUGGCUAUUGGACAAUCUCCAGGAGGAAGUCAGAACAGAUGCACAGGGAGGCCUUCAUGUGAGCCCAUCGAGACUGCAAGCAGGAGAGCUGAUUCCAGCCAACCUCGAUGACACCUUGAUCUCAGCUCUGAAGGCUGGAGGAGAUAAAUGUCUAUUGUCUCGCGGACAGGAGGACUCGGAACCUUCCCGACACAGCAGCGCGCUCCAGGUCUGAGGCGAAGGCUCUGCGGGCUGCUCUGAUCCGAUCAUCACUCACGGCAACAUUGUAUACAGGCAGGCAGAGCCUGGAGAACCUCUGUGAGUUCAAAGCCCUUCCUCUGUCGGGGCCUCCAUCUCUUCACCAGGUAAAAACAGGGAUAAUAGCAUCAGGCAGAAGAAAAAGCAGUUGCUUCAGAUGCUCAUGAGAAACGUGGGAAGACGGGCCACUUCUGUGGGUGUUUCCGGAGCCUUCAGCAGUGUGGGCUGAAGGACUGGAGAGGCUGGGUAUGGCCUGCAAACUCCCAGAGGCCCACUCGUCUCGGUUGUCACUGUGCAGGGUGACCAAGUUAGGACAGCCCAAGUCAGAUUUCAUGCCCUGCUUACACUCUGCCCCCUUCAGCCGCCCACCAGCUCGCUCACAGCCUGCUCCCCCACGCCGGACCCACAGACUCGCCACUCACUCAUCUGCUCACCCACGGGCUCAAUCACUCGUCCACCCAUGCAUCCACUCACUACCUCGUUCAUUCAUUCCCCGCCUCCCUCGGGCGGCCCCGAUUGCCUCAUUGGCCACCUUGGCCAUUCACAAAUUCAUUCACCAUCUUCAUUCAAUAAGCUGCUUCUCAGGACACUGCACAUUUCACAUGGCUGCUUGGGACCGGCAGCUAGGGGACAGCACAGUCAAGGUCUCUGUGCGUUCUAGUGGGCAGAGACAAGGAGAGUGGAAACCAAAUAAUAAUAAUAAUAAUAAUAAUAAUAAUAAUAAUAAUAAUUAAUAAUAAUAAAAACCACAGGUGACAAGCAUCCUGAAGAGACUACAAAGAAACUCAGGAGACCCAGAGCCAGAAAGGGGCCAUUCAAGGCGGGGAGGUCCAGGAAGGGGCUCUAGGAGGUAGCCUUGGGAAAGCAAUCUAAAGAGGUCAAUGGCCAGAGGGACCAUCCCAAUCAGAGCUCUCUGCCACCCCUUCCCAAUAGCUUUGCUGCUGUCAUGGUGAAAUGCCAUCAGGGGGCUGGCUGUGGCUCAGUGGUGGAGCCUUUGCCCAAGGCCUGUGAGGUCCAGGUGUCCCUCCCCAGCACCACAACACAAUGAAAGAAAAACAAUUAAAAAGGAAUUAGGGCUCAAAGUCAAAAAGAGAGAUGUUUUAAAUAAGCGAAUACACAACCAGGUGCUCAGGAUGGGACGUCACCCAGUUUUCUUUUCCUUCCAACAUUCUUUCUCCCUGUCCCAACCCUGGGCGCCUCUCUCCUCACUUUUGGGCUUGGAGUUCUGGUUCGAACCCAGGCCCUUGAGCAUGCGCUGAGCUGCACCCCCAACCCCUUCCCCACUCUUUCAAUAUAUGCAAAGUUUGGCCAAAAGAAGGCCUUUCAUGAUUCUGUCACCAGUUCUCCUUUGGCCAGCCUAGAUUCCUAAUUUGCACUUUAAUUGGUCACUGUCAGCUCUGACAACCCUCAUCCAGGGCCUUGGUUCCUCCGGUCUUGUGGAGAAAUCCUGAGAAGAGGGAGGAAGGGCAGGAGGUAGAUGAAGCCUAGUUUUAAGGUGGCUGAUACAGGUCACCAAACUGACCUUCCCCGAUUCACACAAGAACCCCAACGAGACUGUCCAGGGAGCCCGUCCCGCGUCCUUCCCUUCUUCCCACCGAGAAGGGAGGUUGUGGAGUCUCCAGAAGAGGCCCGGGCCAGCCUGCUGGGUUGGACUUAAUUAGGGCUAAUGAUUUCUCCGUCUUGGUGGGGACAGCCAGACGCCACCGGGUCGGGGAAUCCCAGUCUGGGGAGGGAGACUCGGAGUCGACAUUGAAAUGCAACCUCUCUUUGAAAACAGGGGAGGGGACGGCUUUUCAAUGGAUCCGGGACAACAGCCCCAGAGUCUUAGAAAAACAAAGGGAGGAAGACCUGGGAGCCAGCCGGCAGCGGCCCUGGGGCCUGCUGGGCCCCUGAGAUGGACUCAUUGAGGCGCUUCCCGCCUCGUGCCUGCAGGAAUGUGAAAAGAGGGGAAAACAAACAUUUGCUUAUUCAUUCUUUGGGCUGUCUCCUGAGGUCUCACACCACCUCCAGAUCUAGUGAUCUGAGGCAGGGGCUCCAGGGAAUGCUUCAGACAGGAAUUCCAGGCUACAAGGAGCACUUUAUAAGAUGAACCGGAGCAGAGGUGGAAUUAGGGGGAUAACGACCUUUAAAAACAGGUUUUGGAAAAUUUUGAACAAGCCCCCAAAAAGGACCUCCCCCACCCCCACCCCCCACUCCCCAGCAUACAGCUUCAACAAUUAUCAUAAUUUGGGACAGAGACUUUUUAAAGUUUGUGUAGGUCCCAAGCUUUCUGACUUUGGGGACCCCUUUACCCCACAUCUCAAAAUGCACCCACAAUAACAAUUUUAUACAGCCAAGAGCACUGAGCCAGGGACCCUUGGGCAUGUUUACAUUUUAUUGAUAUUUAAUCUGUUUUAAUCGGGCAAACUGCCUACCCGUCGCUUUGAGUCAUCUGGGGGAAGUUGUUCUUUGUGCCCAAAGAUUAGAUUGGCCCUGGUUUAGAUAUGCAAGAAUCACACCUACAUCCAUAAAAAACAGCACUCCCUCUGGGAACAUUUCCUCAGACAGCGGGCUGGAGACCCAGCGGGGCUAGAGACCCAGGGGGGCUAGAGGAGGAGGUGCUGGAGAUUUAGGCAAACUUUCCCUACUAAUGAAAAAAAUAAAAUAAGAUAAAGGGAUAUUCCCUGCCUGCCCCUUUAAUUAACUAUGCUGUCCUCUUCUUGAUCACAUUCUAUAAAAAGCAUUGAUACCAGCAGCAUGUGGUCCAGUGUUGGCACUGAAAACUCUCAGUCAUGUAUGUGUUCUGCUGUUUUUAUCCUCAAGCCAAGGAUAUUCAUCUUUAUGGCUUUCAGAAGGGUACAGGCUCAGAGAGUUGAAGUCACUACUCUGAGGUCACACAACAUUAUUGGAGUCGGAGAGCUCAGACUUAUCAGUUCUCCUGGGAUCUCUGCAGUUAAAGACCCCUAGGUGCAGAAUGUGGCUUCCAUUGUCCGCAGACAAACCUGGCAUUCAUUCCUGCAUCUGUGAGUUUUCAUUCCCUCCUGUUACACCAAGAUAAUAGUAAUAUUUACUGGUAUGACAGUGGUCACAGGUUUACACCAGGGGGUGGUGUGUGAGAUCAUCCUAUAAUCAACAACCUCUCCCCGGCUAUUUUUCAACCUCUAUUGCUAUUUUCACAAAGGAAGGACAGAAGCAGAUUGAAAGGGGCUGUAAACCAGGGGACCAGAAGGGCCAACUGCUGGCAGGUGACAUUUUAACAUCUCACUCCCCUGUCCCCAGGCACAUAGUAGUUUCUUUCUAAAUAUUUACAGGAAGGGAGGGAGGAAUUCAUGAAUGAGAUCACUUGGGUUCCAAGCCCCAGGACCCCAGGAGCUACUGACCUGGAUCUUGGGGGUUGGUGUAGGAAUUCUUGUGACUGGGAGGCCAGCUACCUUUUGGGCAUGUGCUGUUUCCUAGGAGGUGAAUAGCAGGCCUUCCUGGGGCCUCCUAAGGUCUAGGCCUCAUUAAAAUGUGGGAGGAGUCCUGCCAGCAGGGUUUGCCCACGAAAUUUGCUCCUUGGCAAAGUUUCCUCAAAGGGCACAGUAACAAAGUGAUAUGCAUGAACACUUGCUGCAGUUUAAUUCUAGAACAAUUAUAUGUG